GUCGUCAGCUCGUGUUGUGAAAUGUUGGGUUAAGUCCCGCAACGAGCGCAACCCUUAUCCUUUGUUGCCAGCGGUCCGGCCGGGAACUCAAAGGAGACUGCCAGUGAUAAACUGGAGGAAGGUGGGGAUGACGUCAAGUCAUCAUGGCCCUUACGAGUAGGGCUACACACGUGCUACAAUGGCAUAUACAAAGAGAAGCGACCUCGCGAGAGCAAGCGGACCUCAUAAAGUAUGUCGUAGUCCGGAUUGGAGUCUGCAACUCGACUCCAUGAAGUCGGAAUCGCUAGUAAUCGUGGAUCAGAAUGCCACGGUGAAUACGUUCCCGGGCCUUGUACACACCGCCCGUCACACCAUGGGAGUGGGUUGCAAAAGAAGUAGGUAGCUUAACCUUCGGGAGGGCGCUUACCACUUUGUGAUUCAUGACUGGGGUGAAGUCGUAACAAGGUAACCGUAGGGGAACCUGCGGUUGGA
rnacentral:rRNA from 1 species